AUUGAACGCUGGCGGCAUGCCUUACACAUGCAAGUCGAACGGCAGCACGGGAGCAAUCCUGGUGGCGAGUGGCGAACGGGUGAGUAAUGUAUCGGAACGUACCUUUCAGUGGGGAAUAACGUAGCGAGAGUUACGCUAAUACCGCAUAUUCUGUGAGCAGGAAAGCAGGGGAUCGCAAGACCUUGCGCUGAUUGAGCGGCCGAUAUCAGAUUAGCUAGUUGGUGAGGUAAAGGCUCACCAAGGCGACGAUCUGUAGCGGGUCUGAGAGGAUGAUCCGCCACACUGGAACUGAGACACGGUCCAGACUCCUACGGGAGGCAGCAGUGGGGAAUUUUGGACAAUGGGCGCAAGCCUGAUCCAGCCAUGCCGCGUGAGUGAAGAAGGCCUUCGGGUUGUAAAGCUCUUUCAGCCGGGAAGAAAACGCAUGGGUUAAUACCCUGUGUGGAUGACGGUACCGGAAUAAGAAGCACCGGCUAACUACGUG
rnacentral:rRNA from 1 species